rnacentral:rRNA from 1 species
CACGUAGGGUGCGAGCGUUGUCCGGAAUUAUUGGGCGUAAAGAGCUCGUAGGCGGUCUGUCGCGUCGGUCGUGAAAACUUGGGGCUUAACCCUGAGCUUGCGGUCGAUACGGGCAUGACUGGAGUUCGGCAGGGGAGACUGGAAUUCCUGGUGUAGCGGUGAAAUGCGCAGAUAUCAGGAGGAACACCGGUGGCGAAGGCGGGUCUCUGGGCCGAAACUGACGCUGAGGAGCGAAAGCGUGGGGAGCGAACAGG